rnacentral:rRNA from 1 species
GACGAACGCUGGCGGCGUGCUUAACACAUGCAAGUCGAACGGAAAGGCCCUGCUUGCGGGGUGUGCUCGUGGGGCACACGUGAGUGUCACGCGGGUGUAACCCGCUCCUCACUGUGGGAUGACUUCAGGACACGGGGUCUAACACGAGAUAGGCGCUCCUGCUUGAUGGGGUGGGUUGGAAAUUUUGGUCGGGGUUGGAUGGGCUCGCGGCCUAUCAGGUUGUUGGUUGGGGAAUUGCCUACCAAGGCGUGGGCGGGUAGCCGGGCUGGGAGGGUGGACGGGCACAUUGGGACUGAGAUACGGCCCAGACUCCUACGGGAGGCAGCAGGGGGGAAUAUUGCACAAUUGGCGGAAGCCUGAUGCAGCGACGCCGGGUGGGGGAUGACGGCCCUCGGGUUGUAAAACCCUUUCGCUAGGGAAGAAGCUUUUUGUGACGGUAACUAGAAAAGAAGCACCGGCUAACUACGUG